UGAAUUUAUGGCAAACCAUAACUCUGGUAGGUACUGGUCCAGUUUCUGUAACUGUCACCCACAUAUACAGAGAUCGACUGUUUUAAAGUUUAAUUUACUUUUUCUGUCAUAUUUUUCUGUAGGUGGUUUUGAUAAGGAUGAUGUGAUGUCUUAACAAUGAUGGUGAUACAGAUAAAUAACUAAUGAGGGAUACUACUAGCACUAGCUUUCAUUCUGACCAGUGUGUUUGUCUCACACUUAAAGCUGAUGCUCAGUUCAAAUCAAAGUCAGAAAAUAUCAAAAAAAAUGAGUGGUGAAGAUUUUCGCGCACCCCUUUUACCUGCAAAUGAAAGAAGUUAUGGCUCAUGUAUAGUGAAAAAAAUGACUUAUUUGCUUUUGUUGCUGCAUGUUUGGUAAUGGAGAAAAGGACACUCUGCUAAGUGGGGAUGGUUUCAACACCUGGAAAAAUCUUUCAGCCCACUUGAGACAACAUGAGACGUCUGCUAAACACAUUACAAACAUGGAUACUUGGCGCAAUCUCUCUCAGAAACUUCAAAUCAGAAAGGGUUCGAAAACCAUACUGUCCAGGAGAUCUGGGAGCUCUACCGCCAUUAUUCUGCACGGAAGGACAGGCCAGAUGAUUUUGGUAUGACUCGGAGGGAUUUGAUACAGAAGGCAUACAGCUCUGUCAGCCGGUGCCUAAAUACACCUUUAACCCACAUCACCAGUGUGCAGAUAAAAAGGUUUAGGAAAUACAUUUAUGACAGGAAGAUUCAAAUGUCAAGCUCUUCCAUUAGUGACCGUUCAUGGCUGGACGACACCCACUUAUUCGAGGUGAUAAAAUCUGAGGCCAUGGCUUUCACAGCAUCAUUGGGAGCCCCGUCAUCAUCCGCAGCCCCAUUAUCAUCCGCAGCGCCGGCAUCAUCUGCAGCUACCCCUGCAAAGAAGUCCUCAUCCACAAAUUCUAAGAAAUCAUCCACAGCCAAAGUCCCAGUAGAAACAUUACAGAGUGACUUCCCAGUGAGUAAUAUUUACAUACAAAAAUGUAUUAUAAAUAAAUUAUAGUAGUUGGAGUGAUAUUACGCAUAAUUGUUAUGCAAUUGUUUUCUGUUGUGACAUGUUUUAGGUCAAUCUGGAGGGCUGUGUGUGAUCCUCAU